UGGGGAAUUUUGGACAAUGGGCGAAAGCCUGAUCCAGCAAUGCCGCGUGUGUGAAGAAGGCCUUCGGGUUGUAAAGCACUUUUGUCCGGAAAGAAAUGGCUCUGGUUAAUACCUGGGGUCGAUGACGGUACCGGAAGAAUAAGGACCGGCUAACUACGUGCCAGCAGCCGCGGUAAUACGUAGGGUCCAAGCGUUAAUCGGAAUUACUGGGCGUAAAGCGUGCGCAGGCGGUUGUGCAAGACCGAUGUGAAAUCCCCGAGCUUAACUUGGGAAUUGCAUUGGUGACUGCACGGCUAGAGUGUGUCAGAGGGGGGUAGAAUUCCACGUGUAGCAGUGAAAUGCGUAGAGAUGUGGAGGAAUACCGAUGGGCGAAGGCAGCCCCCUGGGAUAACACUGACGCUCAUGCACGAAAGCGUGGGGAGCAAACAGGAUUAGAUACCCUGGUAGUCCACGCCCUAAAACGAUGUCAACUAGUUGUUGGGGAUUCAUUCCUUAGUAACGUAGCUAACGCGUGAAGUUGACCGCCUGGGGAGUACGGUCGCAAGAUUAAAAGCUC
rnacentral:rRNA from 1 species